UGGGACUGAACCAGGAUAGCUGACCUAAACUGGCCAAAGGGCUAUUAUAUAUCAUAUGACAUCAUGCCAAAAAAAAAACCACUUGAAAUAUGGUGGGGAAUUGGCCAGGCAAGCAGCUGCUGCUCAGGGACUGGCUGGGCAUUGGUCAACAUGUGGGGAACAAUUGCUUCUGAAUCACUUGUUCAUUACUAUUAUCUUAUUUUCCCUUUCCUUUUCUAUCUUAGGAAAUAGUUUUUAUCUCAGCCCUCUGAUUCUAGUUGGUGUUAGUUUUCAUUUUUUCCUUUCUAAUCUCUGGCCAUUGCCACUGGGAGUGGGGGGUGAGUGAACAACUACGUGCUUCUAAGCUGCCUGCCAGGUUAAACCACAACAACUUAAAAGUAAUAUAGAAGCAGGAGAGCAGCAAUUUUGUUCAUUUUAUUUUUGAGAAGUUGCAACAUUUAUCCAUGCUUUGCUGGCUUUGUGGAGCCCUGAUGAAGUGCCUCCAAUAAGCAAGCAAUGGCAUCUAAAUAAUUUAAGGGAACAUUCACAGCAUUAUAAUGACUACUAACCCAUCUGAAGAGUAAAGGUCAGUAAAUCUAUUAGGGUUCUUGUGCUUUGCCUUGCUGAUAUUUCCAGUUCUGUUAGCUCAUUUCCCUCUUAUUUUUAAGAAAGGCUGUACAAUUUGACCUUGAAUUGAUUAGUGGCUUAUACCUUUAAUUGUACUGCAAGCAGCAGUUAUAAAAACACAAGAAAGACGAGACUACAUAAACAUUGACAAACUUUUUUAGUUCAGUUUUAAUUAGCAUUUCCUCGGCUAAUUGUGGUCCAGUAGACUAUGCAAUAUCACACAAUCAGCUAUAAUUGUAUUCACAUCAGAAAUUGUUUAACAGGUUUGUGACCCAUUAAUAAAUUAAAUUCAUUUAGCAAUAUGGCACUCAUCGCCUGACUUUCACUGAAAGCAUUCAGCUGCAGAAGUUCAGUGCACUGGCUAAAAGGUAAGAGGCACAGGCUUCCCUUCAUUGUUUUGAUACUGCCUCAUGCUAUAACCACAAGCUCAGUCUUCCUGUGUCAUUUGUUUUCUGUCUGUAUCAGUGCUAUUGAAGAUAACAGGAAAAACAACAACAACAACAACAAAAAAACACUCUUCUUUGAAGAUUGCUGGCAGCGAAAAUAAAUUGCUCAAUAUUAUGAGGAUUAGAAUUAGUAUUUCUGUUGGAUCAAGGACAAAAGUCAAAGAAAAUUGAGAUUUAUGAACCUCACAAUAAGGUACAUGUUGUUUGGAUUGAAGCUGGAGGAGCAAAAUAUUCUUCUGCUAAAAAAAAGAGAAAGUUGGGGGAGGAAAAGCAACUGCUGGCAUUUGUGGAGAGCCAACUGCCAGACAGGAUGAAUGCUUUAAAAAAAAGCCACCCAACAGGGGUGAAGUUCAUUUCACUGGUUUGUGAUAUCGCUAAGUUAGAUGCUUAAGCCUAAGUUGAUGUUGUGCUCCAUUUCAAACCCAGGGAUUGAAAGAACCUCCUUAUAUUGACAGCUCAUCAGAUGCAGAAUCCAGCUGUUUGAAACUAGGACUGAAAGAAAAGCAAAGUGCAUCACAUAUAAUCCAAUCAAGUUGACACCUCUGAUCUCCAUUUAAAGGCUACGUGUGACAGAAAUGUUUGAAAUUCUAUAUGAUUUUUUCCCUAUUUUUUCUGUUUGAACAAUGGCAACAAUUCAAGAGAAUAUGACAAAGCAGUAAAAAAAAAAAACAUAGAGGUUAAGUAUGAAAUACAAAAAUAAUAAUAAUUAAAAAAUCCUGCAGACUAGUGUUAAAAUGCCAUGAAGCACAGUUUAUUAUUUAAGAUCAAAUGAUCCAAGGUGAGCUACAACUGAAUCUAAACUUCACUGGGAGCUUCUACUUUCGCUCUGAAAGUCAUCUUGCCUUUGGCAUCUAACCUUAAUCUGCUGGAGAUGCCACUCACUGCUGGCAGCACCAAGUCCUACAGAAGGCACCGCCAUUAUCUCUCAGCCUCACAGCGAACAGGGAGGUGACAGUGGUUGGUAGGAUUGGCUUCUGGCAAGGGCUGUCAUCCAGAAAGCAAGAUUAUGGUUAAGAAAUUCAAGGAAUUCAAAACUUUAUGCACCAGAAGAGUGCUGCUGACAUCAGGCUAUAGAAAUACUCCAAAUUGAUGCAGGCAUGAGAAGACCCAGCUCACACUUCUGCUAAGCAGAAACAGGAAUUCAGCCUAUGUUCAUUCCUCUACUGAUUAGCUCUGAACACUGCCCUUGCAAAGGACAUUUUUGUAGACCAUUCUUUUAAGACAACUAAAUGCCUCAUCAAUGCACUCACCAAUGAAGCAUCUUUAAAAAAGAAUAUAAUUAUUUUCUCUGACUCUAUGAUAAGGAAUCUACUGGCACAAGUUGACCCCCCUGAGCUAUGGAGUUGGUUUCUAAUUUGAUAGCAUUGCAAUAUUUGAUUUGUCAGAGUAUAGACAGCUUCUUUGCAACUCAAUCUUAGUGCAGAAAGCCCUCAAAAAAAUCAUGCAGAGUGGAGGUGAAAAUGUAUUCCCUGUGGCUAUAAAGGAGUUUAGUUUUUUGUGAGUGUGUAAAUAUGCCCUGUGGCUUUUAUGAAUGCCUCCACAGGAUAGAAUUUUGAUCAAAAUCAAAAGGGAUUCCAAAGGAAAAAAGUCUCAUUUCUAAAUUGAAUGCAUAAAAAAUUGCUCGUUUGUUGACUGAAAGGCUACUGUGUGAUCUGUGCUUGUUGUUUACUUCUGUAAUCGCUGUAUCAUUAAUUGCUAACUAUCUUAUUCUAUCCCACAUCUGUGGAUGCAUGGUGUGAGCCCUUAGUCUUAAUGUGUAUGUACAGAUUCUUUCAGCAUUGGAGGGGGCUGUCUACACUGUUACGGUGAUCAGCAUUUUCUGUCACAGACAGAAAUUCUGUCACAGUUCAAGUGCAAUUGUUAUGGGUUUAGAAACAAAACAUCUCUGCAGUGCUGGUAUUUUCAAAGACUCAAAGCAGAUCAAAUUCCUAGCAAAUAUGUCCAGGUACCACAUGUGUGACAUUUCUUCCAUUUUUUUACCGCCAUUGCAGUAUAUAAUCUUCACUGCUGACACCUAAGUUUUCAUGCUGAUGAGACUUUUGCUUUGCAACAAUAAAAUAGAAAACAGAAAGUCAGCAAGUCUGGCCAGCUUUCUGCAAAUCUCCCCUUCUUACUCAGGCUCUACACUGUGUUCCUGUUAUCUUGUCAAUUCUGUAUUGAAAAAA
ensembl:lncRNA